GUCUACGGCCAUACCAUCCUGAAUGGACCCAAUCUCAUCUGAUCUCGGAAGCUAGGCAGGGUCGGGCCUGGUUAGUACUUGGAUGGGAGAUAUUUCAACAAAAAUCAUUAAGAUGUUAUUAAAU
ensembl:rRNA 5S_rRNA 5S ribosomal RNA